CCCUUAGAUGUUCUGGGCCGCACGCGCGCUACACUGACGAAUGCAACGAGCUUAUAACCUAGGCCGAAAGGUCUGGGUAAUCUCCAAAUUUCGUCGUGAUGGGGAUAGAUUAUUGCAAUUAUUAAUCUUCAACGAGGAAUGCCUAGUAAGCGCAAGUCAUCAGCUUGCGUUGAUUACGUCCCUGCCCUUUGUACACACCGCCCGUCGCUCCUACCGAUUGAAUGGUCCGGUGAAGCGUUCGGACCGUGGCCUUUGGACGGUUCGCCGUCUGUUGGCUGCGGGAAGUUCGUUAAACCUUAUCAUUUAGAGGAAGGAGAAGUCGUAACA
rnacentral:rRNA from 1 species